rnacentral:rRNA from 1 species
GACGAACGCUGGCGGCGCGCUUAACACAUGCAAGUCGAGCGAGAACCAGGGCUUCGGCUCUGGGGACAGCGGCGAACGGGUGAGUAACACGUGGGUAAUCUGCCCUCGGCACCGGAAUAGCCCGGGGAAACCCGGAUUAAUGCCGGAUGGCCCACCCGCCUCUCGAGGCGGUUGGAAAAGGUAGCUUCGGCCUCCGGCCGAGGAUGAGCCCGCGGCGGGUUAGCUUGUUGGCGGGGUAACGGCCCACCAAGGCGACGAUCCGUAGCUGGUCUGGGAGGAGGAUCACUGGGACUGAGACACGGCCCAGACUCCUACGGGAGGCAGCAGUGGGGAAUCUUGCGCAAUGGGCGAAAGCCUGACGCAGCGACGCCGCGUGCGGGAAGAAGGCCUUCGGGUUGUAAACCGCUUUCAGGAGGGACGAAGCCACUCGGGUGAACAGCCCAGAGGGUGACGGUACCUCCAGAAGAAGCCCCGGCUAACUACGUGCCAGCAGCCGCGGUAAGAC